rnacentral:rRNA from 1 species
UGGGGAAUUUUGGACAAUGGGCGCAAGCCUGAUCCAGCCAUGCCGCGUGCGGGAAGAAGGCCUUCGGGUUGUAAACCGCUUUUGUCGGGGAAGAAAUCCUUUGAGCUAAUACCUCGGGGGGAUGACGGUACCUGAAGAAUAAGCACCGGCUAACUACGUGCCAGCAGCCGCGGUAAUACGUAGGGUGCAAGCGUUAAUCGGAAUUACUGGACGUAAAGCGUGCGCAGGCGGUUAUAUAAGACAGUUGUGAAAUCCCCGGGCUCAACCUGGGAAUUGCAUCUGUGACUGUAUAGCUAGAGUACGGUAGAGGGGGAUGGAAUUCCGCGUAUAGCAGUGAAAUGCGUAGAUAUGCGGAGGAACGCCGAUGGCGAAGGCAAUCCCCUGGACCUGUACUGACGCUCAUGCACGAAAGCGUGGGGAGCAAACA